UACGGAGGGUGCAAGCGUUAUCCGGAUUCACUGGGUUUAAAGGGUGCGUAGGCGGGCAGGUAAGUCCGUGGUGAAAUCUCUGAGCUUAACUCAGAAACUGCCAUGGAUACUAUUUGUCUUGAAUAUUGUGGAGGUAAGCGGAAUAUGUCAUGUAGCGGUGAAAUGCUUAGAUAUGACAUAGAACACCAAUUGCGAAGGCAGCUUACUACACAGUUAUUGACGCUGGGGCACGAAAGCGUGGGGAUCAAACAGG
rnacentral:rRNA from 1 species